GACGAACGCUGGCGGCGUGCUUAACACAUGCAAGUCGAACGGAAAGGCCCUGCUUUUGUGGGGUGCUCGAGUGGCGAACGGGUGAGUAACACGUGAGUAACCUGCCCUUGACUUUGGGAUAACUUCAGGAAACUGGGGCUAAUACCGGAUAGGAGCUCCUGCUGCAUGGUGGGGGUUGGAAAGUUUCGGCGGUUGGGGAUGGACUCGCGGCUUAUCAGCUUGUUGGUGGGGUAGUGGCUUACCAAGGCUUUGACGGGUAGCCGGCCUGAGAGGGUGACCGGCCACAUUGGGACUGAGAUACGGCCCAGACUCCUACGGGAGGCAGCAGUGGGGAAUAUUGCACAAUGGGCGGAAGCCUGAUGCAGCAACGCCGCGUGCGGGAUGACGGCCUUCGGGUUGUAAACCGCUUUCGCCUGUGACGAAGCGUGAGUGACGGUAAUGGGUAAAGAAGCACCGGCUAACUACGUGCCAGCAGCCGCGGUGAUACGUAGGGUGCGAGCGUUGUCCGGAUUUAUUGGGCGUAAAGGGCUCGUAGGUGGUUGAUCGCGUCGGAAGUGUAAUCUUGGGGCUUAACCCUGAGCGUGCUUUCGAUACGGGUUGACUUGAGGAAGGUAGGGGAGAAUGGAAUUCCUGGUGGAGCGGUGGAAUGCGCAGAUAUCAGGAGGAACACCAGUGGCGAAGGCGGUUCUCUGGGCCUUUCCUGACGCUGAGGAGCGAAAGCGUGGGGAGCGAACAGGCUUAGAUACCCUGGUAGUCCACGCUGUAAACGGUGGGUACUAGGUGUGGGGUCCAUUCCACGGGUUCCGUGCCGUAGCUAACGCUUUAAGUACCCCGCCUGGGGAGUACGGCCGCAAGGCUAAAACUCAAAGGAAUUGACGGGGCCCCGCACAAGCGGCGGAGCAUGCGGAUUAAUUCGAUGCAACGCGUAGAACCUUACCUGGGUUUGACAUGGAUCGGGAGUGCUCAGAGAUGGGUGUGCCUCUUUUGGGGUCGGUUCACAGGUGGUGCAUGGCUGUCGUCAGCUCGUGUCGUGAGAUGUUGGGUUAAGUCCCGCAACGAGCGCAACCCUUGUUCACUGUUGCCAGCACGUUAUGGUGGGGACUCAGUGGAGACCGCCGGGGUCAACUCGGAGGAGGGUGGGAUGACGUCAAGUCAUCAUGCCCCUUAUGUCCAGGGCUUCACGCAUGCUACAAUGGCUGGUACAGAGAGUGGCGAGCCUGUGAGGGUGAGCGAAUCUCGGAAAGCCGGUCUCAGUUCGGAUUGGGGUCUGCAACUCGACCUCAUGAAGUCGGAGUCGCUAGUAAUCGCAGAUCAGCAACGCUGCGGUGAAUACGUUCCCGGG
rnacentral:rRNA from 1 species